UUGAGACUAUAAAAAAUAAUUCUGUAUCUAUUUUUACGUGGCUACUCCACUGAUCCAAAGCACUGAAGUACAGCCUGCAUAGCUCAACUUUAUCAAUGAUGUUGGCUCCAGUUGUUUCUUCAACUACAUAUUCAGUCAGGUUCUUGUUUACCUGUCGCCUCCGUUUUGCUGAAACAGGUGUAUUAUUAGUGAUUGCUGUAACUGUGUCACAAAGAAUGCAGAAUUCAUCUUCGCUGCGGAGAUUGCGCACACAUUCGGCAGGUGAAGAUACAAGUUUCAUCUCAGUUAAAAGUGAAACUGCCAUACACUAUGGAUUAGUGAAUGAGUGAGCGAUUUCAGACACAGCAUGAGUCUCAACGGCUGAAAUCGUGCUCCGAAUCAGGGUGGUGUGCUGACUAGAGGUGAGGGGGCACAGUAACCUAGGUGGCCGGGGCAGGCCCCCUGGGGCCCCCUCGUGGCGCCGACCCUGCCUGCGACUUAUAGUCAGGAGUGUUGGAUUCUGGUGUCCAGAAAGAUGCCACACGUCAGAAGAUACUGUGCUUAUCUUGUGAUGAAACGGAGCUUACUAUCUGAUCCUGGAGAAGGAUGGUGUAACAUCAGAGCUCAAUAAGGAAGCACAACAGUAAGCCUUGAAAUCAUUUAUUGAAAAGACAAAGGAAUGGAAAUUGCUGUUUUUGAUUUGUAAAACAUUCUUCUGUUGUUUCUGAAGUUUCAGGUGUGUUGAACAAUGACAUGAUCGAGAAGAUACCAGAAGAAAAGAAAUGCAAGGCAUACACAAGUCGCUCUGCCUGCUGUCUUCUUAAUGAAUUUAUAAAGCAACAUUAAACGCUGUGACAUUUAGAAGACAAAAACGGAAAAUAACCACUUCCAUCAUGGUAAUAUGGCUUGGUAAAUCAUGUGCUUUUAUUUCUAGUGCAUACUGACAUAAAGAGACUGUUACAGUUGUUUGGUACAUUGGAAACUAUAGAGUCUGAAGCAUUUCAGUUCAGUUUUUUACUGUAUGUGUGGUUCACUGUUACAUAGUCAAAAACCUCUGACAUGAUGACCUUUACCUUUUCAAUGUCACAACCUUCAUUUUUAGGGGUACUUCAAGAGAUGCAGUUUAAAUACUGUUUCAGAUGCUUCACGUGUCCCAUUGUUGCUAUACACUGUACAGUUUUACAACAGAAUACUAUAUUUAGUGGCUUAAACAAGUGGCUUUCACUUUGCACAUGUUUGUAAAACCAGAAUCAUGACACUAUAUAAAGUACAAAUGCUCUCCUGAUUCAGAAUUCAUUGCUUUUGUGGGCCAGAAUGAUCAAACUGUCAUUUCUAAUGCAGUAUUUAUUCAUUUUUUAUUUGUUUAAUACAUUCAUAGAAAACAAGGAAUAAAACUAAAUAAAAAUAAUUUAAAAAACAGUAGUAAAUGCUUCAAUAAUAAGGUUAACUAUGGCAAGUACCCUGCAAAUUGUUCUUUUAUAAAUUUGGCAACUUAAAAAUGCAACAGUGUCUGUGUAACUUCAUUUUCCCUUUUUAAUGUUCAUAUUCUCGGCGUCUUCAUAUGACAUAUAUGCAUUCCCUUUAAUGACAAGGUGUCUAUCAUGUGCAUUAAAAAAAUCCCAGCUGUACUUCACAACACGUUAGCUUUGCGCACCUUGUGAAAACCACUGAAGGCAUUGAACCGCAGAUAAACAAAACAACAAAACUUUGAAAAAUAACAUUAUUAACCAUUGUUUACAAAAUAAAUAAACUUGCUUUGUUACCUUUUUUUUCGUGAAUAAAAUGCAUGCGAUAUGUCAAUUGUGCUGUUGUGGUCAGUGAUAUGUAGAAGGCCAUGUGACGUAUAGGCGUAGCUUUUGAAAUCAGAGGCACGAUGAACCUACAAGCAGUUUUAUUAAAGCACAUUGACAGCCUGGUUACUUUAAUAUUGAGCUUCAGCGCACUAAGAGAGAGUGGAUCUCUAAAGCCAUAUUACAGCAAAUCAAUGGCGAUCAGAUUUACACCAUAUGAUACAAAUGCGUACACAUGUACUGCAAGUCAGUGCACCGAAGGUCAGUUUGAUGUGAGAUAGCGCCAUCCGUAGGUCAUUCUUAAGCUGCUGCAUUAAUGAUUUGCCCGGAAAACAUUUAUUGACCACUAUUUUGUUCCCUGCAAUUUAAUGGAGGGUUUUUUUUCCAAGCAGCUUUUAGGGUU